GUGGGGAAUAUUGGACAAUGGGCGAAAGCCUGAUCCAGCCAUGCCGCGUGUGUGAAGAAGGUCUUCGGAUUGUAAAGCACUUUAAGUUGGGAGGAAGGGCAGUAAGUUAAUACCUUGCUGUUUUGACGUUACCGACAGAAUAAGCACCGGCUAACUUCGUGCCAGCAGCCGCGGUAAUACGAAGGGUGCAAGCGUUAAUCGGAAUUACUGGGCGUAAAUCGCGCGUAGGUGGUUUGGUAAGUUGGAGGUGAGAUCCCCGGGCUCAACCUGGGAACUGCCUACAAAACUGCAUGACUAGAGUACGGUAGAGGGUAGUGGAAUUUCCUGUGUAGCGGUGAAAUGCGUAGAUAUAGGAAGGAACACCAGUGGCGAAGGCGACCACCUGGACUGAUACUGACACUGAGGUGCGAAAGCGUGGGGAGCAAACAGGAUUAGAAACCCUUGUAGUCC
rnacentral:rRNA from 1 species